GAUGAACGCUGGCGGCGUGCUUAACACAUGCAAGUCGAACGAACCUUCGGGUUAGUGGCGGACGGGUGAGUAACGCGUGGGAAUCUGCCCUCAGGAGGGGGAUAACGGCUGGAAACGGCCGCUAAUACCCCAUAUGCCGCGAGGUGAAAUGAAUUUCGCCUGAGGAUGAGCCCGCGUCUGAUUAGCUAGUUGGUGGGGUAAGGCCUACCAAGGCGACGAUCAGUAGCUGGUCUGAGAGGAUGAUCAGCCACACUGGGACUGAGACACGGCCCAGACUCCUACGGGAGGCAGCAGUGGGGAAUUUUCCGCAAUGGGCGAAAGCCUGACGGAGCAACGCCGCGUGAGGGAUGAAGGCCUCUGGGCUGUAAACCUCUUUUCUCAAGGAAGAAGACCUGACGGUACUUGAGGAAUAAGCCACGGCUAAUUCCGUGCCAGCCGCCGCAGUAA
rnacentral:rRNA from 1 species